rnacentral:tRNA from 1 species
CACGGAACACAGACGUCGGGCAGCCACGGAGCCCGACGAGCCCGUCUUCCAUCUAGGC